rnacentral:rRNA from 1 species
CAAUCGAACCCGGAGAUAGCUGGUUCUCCUCGAAAUAGCUUUAGGGCUAGCCUCGCAUUAGUUUACCGGAGGUAGAGCACUGAAUGGUCUAGGGGGCCUCACCGCCUACCGAAACCUAUCAAACUGCGAAUGCCGGAUAAAUGAUGUGCGGGAGUCAGGCCGCGAGAGAUAAGUUCCGCGGUCAAAAGGGGAACACCCCAGAUCGUCUGCUAAGGUCCCCAAGUACGCGUUAAGUGGGAAAGGAUGUUGGAUUGCACAGACAACCAGGAUGUUGGCUUAGAAGCAGCCACACAUUCAAAGAGUGCGUAAUAGCUCACUGGUCGAGUGAUCCAGCGCCGAAAAUGUAACGGGGCUAAAACGCGACACCGAAGCAGCGGGAUGCGUAAGCAUCGGUAGAGGAGCAUUGUGUGAGGAUAGAAGCCAGAGCGGGAGCACUGGUGGACUUCACAGAAGAGAGAAUGCCGGUAUGAGUAGCGAGACCCAUGCGAGAAACAUGGGCGUCGAAGGCCCAAGGUUUCCUGGGGAAGGUUCAUCCACCCAGGGUAAGUCGGGACCUAAGCCGAGGACUGAGGUCGUAGGCGAUGGACAGCAGGUAGAGAUUCCUGCACCACUUACACUUGUUUGACGAAGCAGUGACACAGAAGGAUAGGACGAGCGCGGUGAUGGUCAACCGCGUAGGCGGCACGAGGCUGGGGAGCAGUAAAGUACACUUCCCGUGAAGGCUGAGUGCUGACAGGACCGAAAAAGAGUAGGGAAGCGUCUGAGUUCACGCUGGCGAGAAAAGCUGCUAAGGAGAGUGUGAGUGCCCGUACCGGAAACCGACGCAGGUGGGCGAGGAGAGAAUCCUGAGACGGACGGGAGAACUCUUGUUAAGGAACUCGGCAAAAUGACCCCGUAACUUCGGGAGAAGGGGUGCCUCGAAAGAGGCCGCAGAGAAUAGUCACAAGCGACUGUUUAGCAAAAACACAGGUAUCUGCGAAAGCGAGAGCUGACGUAUAGGUGCUGACACCUGCCCGGUGCUGGAAGGUUAAGGGAACAUGUUAGAGCAAUCGAAGCAUCGAACCGAAGCCCCAGUAAACGGCGGCCGUAACAAUAACGGUCCUAAGGUAGCGAAAUUCCUUGUCGGGUAAGUUCCGACCCGCACGAAUGGUGUAACGACUUGUGAGCUGUCUCAACAGGGGGCCCGGUGAAAUUGAAGUAUGGGUGAAGAUGCCCAUUACCCGCGACUGGACGGAAAGACCCCGUAGAGCUUUACUGCAGCCUGAUAUUGAGUUUCGGUAACUGAUGCACAGGAUAGGUGGGAGUCUGAGAGACAUGGGUUUCGGCUCAUGAGGAGACGAUGUUGGGAUACCACUCUUCGGUUACUGAAAUUCUAACAUAGCUCUGUGAAACCAGAGGAUGGACAGUGUCAGGUGGACAGUUUGACUGGGGCGGUCGCCUCCGAAAGAGUAACGGAGGCGCCCAAAGGU